rnacentral:lncRNA from 1 species
AUUAAAUUCAUAAAUAUCCAAAAAAUGUUAAUACAUAAAUUUGGAGUAUCUACUCAACGAAAUAAUAUAUUGUUCCAAUCCAACAAUAGUUGUUUCUCCUUCUACAAGUCUAGUUUCAUACAGUGUCAAUUUUAGCCUCCAAGGCACCAUCAUAUUUAGAUGUGGUAGAACAAAACAUUUAUUCUAUCAAUAGUUAUUUUUUUCCCACGUGAAUCAGAUGAUACCGGUCAUUAUCUAUGGUGUCUUGAAAACGCUAAACAAGCACGUUCAAUUCUUGAUGAUUCCAGCAAGUUGCAUCUAUCUGACAGUGACUUAGUAGCCACAUCAAUUGUGGAUUGUCGCUUCGAAGCAAACUACACAAAAAAAGUUGUUAUAAAACAUGCCACAUCUAGUCAUGAAAUUUUUUUGCAUAUAUGCAGUCGAAGUUAGAUGACGAAGGCAAAGAUAAACCUUGAUUCUCUUCAACUUCGUAUUCUUAGAUCUUUUUUCAUUGAGCAUCACAUGUGACUACUUCCUGGUAACCAACAAAACACACAUUCAGAUACGAAAAAAUUGAAUUCAGUUUUUGAAAAAUAUAUGAUAACAAAUAAUGCACAAAUAAUUAACUUUAAGGAUGUUGCAGCCUACUCAAUCAUGCAAACUCAGUGCAUGUACAAAUGACCAAAAUGAAUGUCUGAACUAUGAAUACAAUCGUCUUUACAUCAGUUUUCAAUUGUGGAAAAAAUAUGUAGCUACUAAUGAAUUAUACAAACUAUAAAAAUUCAGUUACGCUUGCCAUAUAUAUUAGAUGCAAUUCCAAAUUUAUUUAUUUUCCACGCACAAAAAUCACACUAUUACAUCACCUACCCAACCUUCUAAUUUCAAGAACCAUCAAUACUCCAUCAUUUCUUAAUAUCUAAUAAAUUUGAAGAGAUAUUCCAAAGCAAAAAAUGUUAGAUCUCGAAAUUUAUGCACUUCAAGUGGAAUAUAAAUGAUACACUGACCAAUAGAAGGCUUUAAAAAAUAUUCGCAGUAGAUAUUACUUCACCGUUUAGAAUCAAGAACUAAUAUUUCCAUCAUUUUUUAUUCCUUGGCAAUUUCAUGUUUUAAAGAUCUCUCACAAGAAAAUGCAUAGCCUAUCUUUUAUUCUUUAAAGCAAAGAAGCUUUCUAACCAAAGAUGAUGGAAUCCCACCUUGACUAAUUUAAGGACUUUGAAUACUAUAGAAAACCAAAAGCCUUAAGGUUCUAGCAAGCCUAAUAUAACUCAUGAUCAAAUAAUUUCAAGCUUCUCAAAAUACGAAUGUCGUCAAAUUGAUCUCAUCUUUCAAUAUCGACAAUAAUAUGUUUGUUCAGGCCCUAUAGAAUAUUGUUCAAAAGUACCAUUGAAGUUGAAAUUUCAAACAAAACCUAUCGCGUCUCAAUAGAAAAACCAAUUAGUUAAGUGUAAGAUAAAAAAUAAAUGACUGCAUGUUGUAUGAAAACACAAGGCAGAAGAAGGUGCUUAUGAAAAUGAAUUCAUACAUGAGCAGUUCAGAGCCUCUUAAACAUAAGUUGGUGAAAUCGUGGUAAUAACAAUAGAAAAUAUAAUUGCAUCCCGCAUCAAGAAAUAACCAUAUCCAUUGCAUAUUAAAAAAUAGACAUGGAAGGAAAGAAGCCAUCCAAGAUCAGUUAUCGUAACUUAUCAUUAGAAUCCUGUUAUCUUUACAGGAUUUGUUCUAUCAUUUGCUAAAUUGUCCUGCAUCCUAUCUGGCUUGUCAAGUGAUAAGCAUCAAGACUGCGAGAUAUUUAACUCUAAUCUUGAAUGUAUGAAAAGUAGCAGUUAAUAGGUAAAGAUAAAUAGGAGUCCAUCUUAUAACAAAAAGAUAUUUGUCAAUCAGUUGUAGAAAGAAAUUAACAGGGAUUCAUGGAAACAUCAAGAACAAGUUUUUGAUCCAUUUUUGAGCAAUGUAAAUGAACAACUAUUAGAUAGUUAAAACUGAAGAAGCUUCUUUCAGAUGCAUCAAACUGAAUAUUCAUAUAAAAUAGUGUCGCACUAACUUUCUCUGCAUAAAUAGACCAAUUGAAGCUUUUACACCAGAUAGAGUUCAUCGACAUCUAUAUUAGUAUGUUGACCAAUUCUUUUUACACUAGCAGAACUAUUAGCAGUUGUUGUAGCUAUCCAACAGUGAAGGUCUACUAGAUUCUGCUAUACAAAGUACUACAAAGUGAAUAGAUACUAAAUUGUAUGUUACUGAACAUCACAAUAGGCUACAAUAAUAUCCAUAUUGAAUACUAACAAAGGCAAUUAUUGGUAAUUAAACUAUACUCACAACAAGAAUUUUAAAUGCAUACUUGAGUUUGUGUGUAGAGUGUACGUCUUCAAGAGAUUUCAAGUAACAUCCCAACACUGCAAAUGUAAUUAUCAAAUUAAAUUUUCGUUUUUCAUAAGAUUAAAUUCACGAAAUUACACCUUGAAUUUCACUUGUUGUUUUUAAUCAUUGCAUCAUAAUAUGGAUAAAUUUCGACAAAUGAGAAGCCAAUAUAGAUCAGUAAUAUAGAGUAUAUCGGACAAAAUAAAGAAAGCUGAUAAUUAAUAAGGCUUACUGUAGAAUAAAGAAGAAGCAGAUAAGUUAAAAAUUAAAGUAUACUUUUAAUUUUGAAUAGUCAUUAAAACCCAAGUUCCUAAUAAGUGAUAGAAUCGAUAUUCAGCGCUUAUUUAAUCUAAUCGACGUAACUAUAAAGGCAUAAUAGGAACAGUUCAAGAAGUUUAUUUACAAGAUCCUAUUUCUACGCUUCAUAACGAAAGAGCCAUCCAUAGAGAAGAAAAUCAAAUCUAGAAGGAAAAAAGAUAGAUAAAGAGAAAGAGUAGAGAGAUAUUACCGGGUGAUAGUGGCCGACUAUAGUGCAAGAUGAGAUGGGUACUGACGAUCUUGAGAGGGGAGGGAGGAUCUACUCAAUUUUGUGCAUCUCUGUAGUAGAGAUUAUAAUUGUGAAAUUUAGAGUGAAUGUAUCCAGGCGAAAAUAUUUCAUAGGGAGAAAAAUAGAGGGAAGAUUAAAAUGAAUUGUUAGGAGUAACUUUUUGUGACUAUUAUUUAAAUAGCUAGUAAAAAAUCACUCUUUUCAAGCAAAAGUUAAAUUGCGGCAAAUAUUUGUGUUUAUAGAAUAAAGUAGUGUCAAUUCUUUAAUUGCCGCUAAAUAAUUGUCGCUAAAGGCUUUUUUUCUUGUAGUGUUACUAAAUUACUAAAAUUGGCCUAUGUGACUACCAUGUUUCGGUAGUCCACUACUUACUGAUUUUGUGAUUGCGUGACACUUUUCUUUGUCAUAGAUUCAGCCUUGCAUGCCUAAUGUUUAUGCACUCUUUAUAUGCUGAAUUUUCCUCUGAAAUGACCUUCAAUUAUGGACUGAUUUCAAACCUCCUUGUGUAAUUCUAAUUGACUCUUUCUUUGUUUUACUGAUUUCCCUAUUUCUUGGACCAAUUUGAACACUUUCCUUUGAACUUUCGAUCCCUACCUUUUCUACUCAAUUUGAUUAAUUCCCUUACCUUGAUUACAUUGGUAUUUGAUUCUUACAGACCUUAGAAUCUGAUGAACCUAGUCUUUAUUACCUAUUGUGUAUUUGUACUAUGCUGAAGAUACUUCCUUAUUGGGCAUAUUCAGUCUUAUGUGAUUUCUUUUCUUAUUUGACACUUGCAUGUUACUGUUUGAUUUUAACUCCUUAAUUAAAGGAAGCUCUUAUACUGAUUGAUUUUAAUUGGUAUACAGUUCCAUAAUUAUUUUCUUGCCUUAUUUUUCUGCCAAUUUUCACACUAUAAAUACCCUGCUCUUUUAUUACAUAGAAAACACACUUAGUCUGAAAUCACUUACAUUCAAAAACAUUAUCUUGCUUUACUACUUAUACUGUGGCCUGUCUUCAAAGUCCUGCUACCUGCUUUUACUAUAUUUUGCUUCUCUAAACUGGUAUGUUCUAUUAAGAUUUCAGCAUCAACAACCAUAUGUUUAUCUAAUACUUUUGCCUUCAUGUCUGCCUACUGCUUGUGAUCAAUUCAGUACUUAUUUUUAGCAUGUUGUAAUAUACUUCUACCUGUUUUGAAUCUAUUGUGUGUCCUAAACCCCUACCCCGAUAUGUUUGAUAUUGAUGGCUUGUUUGAGGCAUGACAGUAUUAAGCAUUGUUGUCUAUGACUCAGACUUGAUUCCCUUGGCAUCAUAGCCUUUGUGUUAUCAUUAUGUGUU